rnacentral:lncRNA from 1 species
UCACGUCCAUAUAUGCCAAUUAACAUUCAGUUUUACUUAAUUGAAAAUUAAAUAAAUAAUUUAACAUUCAUUAUCACGUAUAUAUUUCCUGAUAUUAAUUCUAAAUUAAUUAACAUUGACGCACAUUCAGAUGCUACUUUUUAAAAAUGACUUUCCAACCUCAGAAUUCCAAAGACAGAUGAAACAGUCCACAUUCAGAUUUACAUCCCGAUUACGGAUUUUAAGAAGCAAGCAUUCAUAGGAAGACUUGAAUUAGCCUCGACUCUUAACAUUCUCCCACUGCAAUGAGGACUAAGAUUUCAUAACCGUCUCAGAAAAGGUUGGCCCGGAACUGCCUAUGCUGCUGAAAUGUUUCUUUGACUGCGAGUUUCAACGUAAUAUUUUGCCUUUAACCGUGACU